UACGGGGGGAGCUAGCGUUGUUCGGAAUUACUGGGCGUAAAGCGCGCGUAGGCGGCUUUGUAAGUUAGAGGUGAAAGCCCGGGGCUCAACUCCGGAAUUGCCUUUAAGACUGCAUCGCUAGAAUCCGGGAGAGGUGAGUGGAAUUCCGAGUGUAGAGGUGAAAUUCGUAGAUAUUCGGAAGAACACCAGUGGCGAAGGCGGCUCACUGGACCGGUAUUGACGCUGAGGUGCGAAAGCGUGGGGAGCAAACAGG
rnacentral:rRNA from 1 species